UACGGAGGAUCCAAGCGUUAUCCGGAAUCAUUGGGUUUAAAGGGUCCGUAGGCGGUCUAGUAAGUCAGUGGUGAAAGCCCAUCGCUCAACGGUGGAACGGCCAUUGAUACUGCUGGACUUGAAUUAUUGGGAAGCAACUAGAAUAUGUAGUGUAGCGGUGAAAUGCUUAGAGAUUACAUGGAAUACCAAUUGCGAAGGCAGGUUGCUACCAAUGAUUGACGCUGAUGGACGAAAGCGUGGGUAGCGAACAGG
rnacentral:rRNA from 1 species